rnacentral:misc_RNA from 1 species
GCUUUGAUUAUUGAUUAACCUCCAGUAUCUAAAUAUAGAACUUUCAUCACCUUCCUUAGUAAGGAAAAUUGCUCGCCAUGAUCCAUCAUGCACUCCAACCUAAUUCCUUAAUUAUAGUUGACGUAUCAAGUAAAAUCUUCGAAGAUUCCGCGGACCCAGUAAUAAAAUUCCACCGCACUAAUCAAAGAGAAUCUAAGAUACUUCUACCCAAAUAAGAGGUAUGUCUCUCCUUAUGUACUAAUCUCAUAUAGAUAAAGAUUACAAUUCUCACUAGCUCAGAAAACUCUGCCAGGAUCCCCCUCCCAAACCCAUGAUCUCCUGAAAUCCCUCAAAUAGCAGAUUAUUCCAAACAAUCUACAAACAGAAGUACGUAAAAUAAUUUAAAGAAACGAAAAGGGACUCUCGAGACAUGCCAACUAGACAAAGAUUCACUCAAAACCUUCAGACCCAGAUUACAAACCUCUCAAAUAGACAAUCACUUCAAUAAAA